CAACGACUCUCGACAACGGAUAUCUCGGCUCUCGCAUCGAUGAAGAACGUAGCGAAAUGCGAUACUUGGUGUGAAUUGCAGAAUCCCGUGAACCAUCGAGUCUUUGAACGCAAGUUGCGCCCGAAGCCACUAGGCUGAGGGCACGCCUGCCUGGGUGUCACG
rnacentral:rRNA from 1 species